rnacentral:rRNA from 1 species
GUCUAUGGCCAUGCCACCCUGAACAUGUCCAAUCUUGUCUGAUCUCAGAAGCUAAGCAGGGUCAAGCCUGGUUAGUGCUUGGAUGGGAGACUACCUAGGAAUAUUGGGUGUUGUAGGUG